rnacentral:rRNA from 1 species
AUGGGUACACUUUCUGUUUCUGGUAUUCCACCUCUUGCUUGCUUCUGGUCCAAAGAUGAAAUCCUUGGUAAUAGUUGGUUGUAUUCACCCUUUUUUGGAAUAAUAGCCUCCUUUACUGCAGGAUUAACUGCCUUUUAUAUGUUUUGGAUAUAUUUACUUACAUUUGAUGGGUAUUUGCGUGUUCAUUUUCAAACUUACAGUAGCACUAAAGAGAGUUCCUUGUAUUCAAUAUCUUUAUGGGGAAAAAGGAUACCCAAAGGAGUGAAUAGGGAUUUCGUUUUAUCAACAACGAAGAGUGGGGUUUCUUUUUUUUCACAAAAUAUACCAAAAGUUCAAGGUAAUACAAGAAAUAGGAUAGGAUCAUUUACUACGUCUUUUGGGGCUAAAAACACUUUUGCCUAUCCACAUGAAACGGGAAAUACUAUAUUAUUUCCUCUUCUUAUAUUACUACUUUUCACUUUGUUCAUUGGAUUCAUAGGAAUCUCUUUUGAUAAUGGAGGAAUUGGUAAUGGAAUAGCAGAGUUAAACAUAUUAUCAAAGUGGUUAACUCCCUUAAUAAACUUUACCCAGGAAAGUUCUAAUUCUUUUGUAAAUUCAUAUGAAUUUAUUACUAAUGCAAUUUCUUCUGUAACUCUAGCUAUCUUUGGUUUAUUCAUAGCAUAUAUCUUCUAUGGAUCCGCUUAUUCUUUUUUUCAGAAUUUGGAUUUAAUAAACUCUUUUUACAAAGGAAAUGGAAUUUUUAGAUCAAGUAAAAAAUAUACAGUUGGUCAUAUAAUCGUGGUUAUAUAG